ensembl:miRNA
UAUUAGGUUGGGGCAAAAGUAAUUGCUGUUUUUGCCAUUACUUUUAAUACUUUUAACUGCAAUUACUUUUACACCAACCUAAUAU